rnacentral:rRNA from 1 species
UCCAGACUCCUACGGGAGGCAGCAGUGAGGAAUAUUGGUCAAUGGGCUUACGCCUGAACCAGCCAAGUCGCGUGAGGGAAGACUGCCCUAUGGGUUGUAAACCUCUUUUGUCAGGGAGCAACGCCGGCUACGUGUAGCCAGACUGAGAGUACCUGAAGAAAAAGCAUCGGCUAACUCCGUGCCAGCAGCCGCGGUAAUACGGAGGAUGCGAGCGUUAUCCGGAUUUAUUGGGUUUAAAGGGUGCGUAGGCGGAAUGCCAAGUCAGCGGUAAAAUCGCGGGGCUCAACCUCGCUCCGCCGUUGAAACUGGCGUUCUUGAGUGGGCGAGAAGUAUGCGGAAUGCGUGGUGUAGCGGUGAAAUGCAUAGAUAUCACGCAGAACUCCGAUUGCGAAGGCAGCAUACCGGCGCCCAACUGACGCUGAAGCACGAAAGCGUGGGUAUCGAACAGGAUUAGAUACCCCAGUA